rnacentral:rRNA from 1 species
GGGUUUAAGGGUGCGUAGGCGGCUAUUUAAGUCAGGGGUGAAAGACGGCAGCUCAACUGUCGCAGUGCCUUUGAUACUGAAUAGCUUGAAUACACUUGAGGUAGGCGGAAUGUGACAAGUAGCGGUGAAAUGCAUAGAUAUGUCACAGAACACCAAUUGCGAAGGCAGCUUACUAAAGUGUGAUUGACGCUGAGGCACGAAAGCGUGGGGAUCAAACAGGAUUAGAUACCCUGGUAGUCCACGCCCUAAACGAUGAAUACUCGAUGUUGGCGAUAUACGGUCAGCGUCUAAGCGAAAGCGUUAAGUAUUCCACCUGGGGAGUACGCCCGCAAGGGUGAAACUCAAAGGAAUUGACGGGGGCCCGCACAAGCGGAGGAGCAUGUGGUUUAAUUCGAUGAUACGCGAGGAACCUUACCCGGGCUUGAAAGUUAGUGAAUGGAGCAGAGACGCUCCAGUCCUUCGGGACACGAAACUAGGUGCUGCAUGGCUGUCGUCAGCUCGUGCCGUGAGGUGUUGGGUUAAGUCCCGCAACGAGCGCAACCCCUGUGUUUAGUUGCCAGCAUGUAAUGGUGGGGACUCUAAACAGACUGCCUAUGCAAAUAGAGAGGAAGGAGGGGACGACGUCAAGUCAUCAUGGCCCUUACGUCCGGGGCUACACACGUGCUACAAUGGGCAGUACAGAGGGCAGCUACCUGGCAACAGGAUGCCAAUCUCUUAAAGCUGUUCACAGUUCGGAUCGGGGUCUGCAACUCGACCCCGUGAAGUUGGAUUCGCUAGUAAUCGCGUAUCAGCAUGACGCGUGAAUACGUUCCCGGUCUGCACACACGCC